UCCCAGUGUGACCAGAAUAGGGAGAUGG
rnacentral:sRNA from 1 species